rnacentral:rRNA from 1 species
GAUGAACGCUGGCGGCGCGCCUAACACAUGCAAGUCGAACGAUUAAAGCACCUUCGGGUGUGUAUAAAGUGGCGAACGGCUGAGUAACACGUGGGCAACCUGCCCCUCUCCUUGGGAUAGCCCCGAGAAAACGUGGAUAAUACCAAAUCCCUACUGACUUCCCCAUGGAAUACUCGACAAUUCUUCGGUGGAGAGGGCAGCUGCCCCCCCCCCAUGGCCCUCUGGUUUGAGUAAAGGACCGAAGGGGACAAUCUUUUCUAGGCGACGAUAAAUAAACCCUGCCUGGGAGGGCGGGGGCUGGCACUCUGAACUGAACCCCCCUCCUACCUCCUUUUGGUUGCUUCCGGUUUGUUUUUCUUUUUUGG